UACAGAGGGUGCAAGCGUUAAUCGGAAUUACUGGGCGUAAAGCGCGCGUAGGUGGCUUGGUAAGUUGAAUGUGAAAUCCCCGGGCUCAACCUGGGAACUGCAUCCAAAACUGCCUGGCUAGAGUACGGUAGAGGGUGGUGGAAUUUCCUGUGUAGCGGUGAAAUGCGUAGAUAUAGGAGGGAACACCAGUGGCGAAGGCGACCACCUGGACUGAUACUGACACUGAGGUGCGAAAGCGUGGGGAGCAAAC
rnacentral:rRNA from 1 species